GAUGAACGCUGGCUACAGGCUUAACACAUGCAAGUCGUGGGGAAACGGCAUUAUGUGCUUGCACAUUCUGGACGUCGACCGGCGCACGGGUGAGUAUCGCGUAUCCAACCUGCCCCUUACUUGGGGAUACCCCGUUGAAAGACGGCCUAAUACCCGAUGUGUUUCAUUGACGGCAUCCGAUAUGAAACAAAGGUUUUCCGGUAAGGGAUGGGGAUGCGUCUGAUUAGCUUGUUGGCGGGGCAACGGCCCACCAAGGCGACGAUCAGUAGGGGUUCUGAGAGGAAGGUCCCCCACAUUGGAACUGAGACACGGUCCAAACUCCUACGGGAGGCAGCAGUGAGGAAUAUUGGUCAAUGGACGCAAGUCUGAACCAGCCAAGUAGCGUGCAGGAUGACGGCCCUAUGGGUUGUAAACUGCUUUUAUGUGGGAAUAAAUUGGCGCACGUGUGCACCAUUGCAUGUACCUCAUGAAUAAGGACCGGCUAAUUCCGUGCCAGCAGCCGCGGUAAUACGGAAGGUCCGGGCGUUAUCCGGAUUUAUUGGGUUUAAAGGGAGUGUAGGCGGUCUGUUAAGCGUGUUGUGAAAUUUAGGUGCUCAACAUUUAACUUGCAGCGCGAACUGUCAGACUUGAGUACACGCAGCGCAGGCGGAAUUCAUGGUGUAGCGGUGAAAUGCUUAGAUAUCAUGAGGAACUCCGAUCGCGAAGGCAGCCUGCGGGAGUGUUACUGACGCUUAAGCUCGAAGGUGCGGGUAUCGAACAGGAUUAGAUACCCUGGUAGUCCGCACAGUAAACGAUGGAUGCCCGCCGUUGGCGCCCUGCGCCUGCGGCCAAGCGAAAGCAUUAAGCAUCCCACCUGGGGAGUACGCCGGCAACGGUGAAACUCAAAGGAUUGACGGGGGCACGCACAAGCGGAGGAACAUGUGGUUUAAUUCGAUGAUACGCGAGGAACCUUACCCGGGGCUUGAAUUGCAGUCGCUGCCCACAGAGACGUGGG
rnacentral:rRNA from 1 species